rnacentral:rRNA from 1 species
GUAAGGAAUAUUGCACAAUGGGCGCAAGCCUGAUGCAGCAACGCCGCGUGCGGGACGAAGGUCUUCGGAUCGUAAACCGCUUUUCUGGGGGAAGAGUAAGGACGGUACCCCAGGAAGAAGUCUCGGCUAACUACGUGCCAGCAGCCGCGGUAAAACGUAGGAGGCAAGCGUUAUCCGGAUUUACUGGGCGUAAAGCGCGUGCAGGCGGCGGGAUAAGUGGUGCGUGAAAGCUCCCAGGCUUAACCGGGAGAGGACGUGCCAGACUGCCCCGCUGGAGUCAGGUAGAGGCAAGUGGAAUUCCGGGUGUAGUGGUGAAAUGCGUAGAGAUCCGGAGGAACACCAGUGGCGAAGGCGGCUUGCUGGACCUGAACUGACGCUCAGACGCGAAAGCAUGGGGAGCGAACGGGAUUAGAAACCCCGGUAGUCC